rnacentral:rRNA from 1 species
GGUAUUCGUUACGACGAAACCUUAACCUGCUAACUAGUCUGCUUGUGAAUAACAGGUUGUACUUCUUAGAGGGACUAUUGUGCAAUAAGCCAAUGGAAGUUUAAGGCAAUAACAGGUCUGUGAUGCCCCUAGACGUGCUCGGCCGCACGCGCGUUACAAUGACUGGCGCAAAAAGUAUUUCCUGUCCUGGGAAGGUACGGGUAAUCUUAUUAAUACCAGUCGUGUUAGGGAUAGUUCUUUGGAAUUGUGGAUCUUGAACGAGGAAUUUCUAGUAAGUGCAAGUCAUCAGCUUGCGUUGAUUAUGUCCCUGCCGUUUGUACACACCGCCCGUCGCUUGUAGUAACGAAUGGUCUGGUGAACCUUCUGGACUGCGACAGCAAUGUUGCGGAAAAAUAAGUAAACCCUACCAUUUGGAACAACAAGAAGUCGUAACAAGGUAUCUGUAGGUGAACCUGCAGAUGGAUCAUUA